AUUGAACGCUGGCGGCAUGCCUUACACAUGCAAGUCGAACGGUAACAGGUCUUCGGAUGCUGACGAGUGGCGAACGGGUGAGUAAUACAUCGGAACGUGCCCGAUCGUGGGGGAUAACGAAGCGAAAGCUUUGCUAAUACCGCAUACGAUCUACGGAUGAAAGCAGGGGACCGCAAGGCCUGGCGCGAACGGAGCGGCCGAUGGCAGAUUAGGUAGUUGGUGGGAUAAAAGCUUACCAAGCCGACGAUCUGUAGCUGGUCUGAGAGGACGACCAGCCACACUGGGACUGAGACACGGCCCAGACUCCUACGGGAGGCAGCAGUGGGGAAUUUUGGACAAUGGGCGAAAGCCUGAUCCAGCCAUGCCGCGUGCAGGAUGAAGGCCUUCGGGUUGUAAACUGCUUUUGUACGGAACGAAAAGACUCUGGUUAAUACCUGGGGUCCAUGACGGUACCGUAAGAAUAAGCACCGGCUAACUACGUG
rnacentral:rRNA from 1 species